rnacentral:pre_miRNA from 1 species
UAUAUACUCCCUUCGUUUCAAAUUGUCGUUCACUUUAGAUAUGUAUCUAGAUAUAUAUAUAUCUAGAUACAUAUCUAAAGUGAACGACAAUUUGGAACGGAGGGAGUAUAUU